AGGGCAUCAGUGGCUGUGUUGAUGAGCGGAACCAUCUACACUCAAGUGGAGAGAUAAGGACAGAUGUAAACCAGUCCUCUAUAUACUCCAGUGAAUCAUCAUAGCUCCAUAAACACAACAGCACAGACAUUUAAACUACACAUAUUGCAAAAGAUGCAGACGUACAGUAACCAACUGCAAAAGUGAACGCUGGGUGUUUAAAGGUUUAUGAGUUCCUUCUGGUCACAAAGAAAAAUAUUUAACUUGCUGACCAGUUGAAAUGAAGACAUAAAGAAGGUACAAAGUUAAUAUUAAAUUUAUUUAAAUUUACACUUAAAUGAUACAAAUUAUGUAUUAAUAAAAGUAAAAAAUAAGCACCACCAAAAACUAGAUGUUUAUCUCUUUUACCAGAAACUUUGAGUUUUUUCCUUCCUCAUUUCAAACAUUGUGUAAGCUAAAGAUGGGGGAGAUGUCGAGACCCAACAAAAACAAAUAACAAACACUUGAAUGAUGACAUUUAUAAACUGACUCAGACACACAAGAUUCAAAUCAUUCUCUUAUAGGUAAAAGUUCUCGGCUUAAUUAGAGGAAUCUUGUUGAUCUUCUAGUUCUUAUCUUAUCUUAUCUUAUCUUAUCUUAUUUUAUCUUAUCUUAUCUUAUUUUAUUUGUCUUGGAUACAUGAGGAAUCUUUAUUUUCUCACUUCUUUCAUCUUGGCAGCACUGAAAGAUGGGGUCAGGACGCUCCGCACUCGUUUCCA